UACGGGGGGAGCAAGCGUUGUUCGGAUUUACUGGGCGUAAAGGGCGCGUAGGCGGCGCAACAAGUCACUUGUGAAAUCUCCGGGCUUAACUCGGAGCGGCCAAGUGAUACUGUCGUGCUAGAGUGCGGAAGGGGCAACUGGAAUUCUCGGUGUAGCGGUGAAAUGCGUAGAUAUGCGGAGGAACACCGAUGGCGAAGGCAAUCCCCUGGGCCUGCACUGACGCUCAUGCACGAAAGCGUGGGGAGCAAACAGG
rnacentral:rRNA from 1 species